rnacentral:rRNA from 1 species
AACGAACGCUGGCGGCAGGCCUAACACAUGCAAGUCGAACGCACCGCAAGGUGAGUGGCGCACGGGUGAGUAACACGUGGGAAUGUACCCUUUGGUUCGGAAUAACGUUUGGAAACGAACGCUAAUACCGGAUGAGCCCUGCGGGGGAAAGAUUUAUCGCCAAAGGAGCAGCCCGCGUCUGAUUAGCUAGUUGGUGGGGUAAAGGCCUACCAAGGCGACGAUCAGUAGCUGGUCUGAGAGGAUGAUCAGCCACACUGGGACUGAGACACGGCCCAGACUCCUACGGGAGGCAGCAGUGGGGAAUAUUGGACAAUGGGCGCAAGCCUGAUCCAGCCCAUGCCGCGUGAGUGAUGAAGGCC